UGAGGUAAUGGCUCACCAAGGCGACGACGGGUAGCGGGACUGAGAGGUUGGCCCGCCACAUCGGGACUGAGACACUGCCCGGACCUCCACGGAGGGCUGCAGUAACGAAUCUUGGGCAAUGGGCGAAAGCCUGACCCAGCGACGCCGCGUGCAGGAGGAAGCCCCUCGGGGUGUAAACUGCUGUCAGGGGUUAGAAAGCCGAAAGGUUGAUCAGCCCCAGAGGAAGUCACGGCUAACUUCGUGCCAGCAGCCGCGGUAAGACGAAGGUGGCAAGCGUUGUUCGAAAUCACUGGGCUUAAAGGGUGCGUAGGCGGACCUGCAAGUGUCUUGUGAAAUCCCCCGGCUUAACCGGGGAAUGGCUCGGCAAACUGUGGGUCUUGAGGCAAGUAGGGGUGCGUGGAACUCUUGGUGGAGCGGUGGAAUGCGUAGAUAUCAAGAGGAACGCCGAAGGUGAAAACAGCGCACUGGGCUUGCCCUGACGCUGAGGCACGAAAGCGUGGGGAGCAAACAGGAUUAGAUACCCUGGUAGUCCACGCCCUAAACGAUGCCUACUAGGUUGUAGGGGUUCUGACGCCCUUACAGUCGGAGCAAAAGU
rnacentral:rRNA from 1 species